rnacentral:rRNA from 1 species
AGCGAACGCUGGCGGCAGGCCUAACACAUGCAAGUCGAGCGCCCGUAGCAAUACGGGAGCGGCAGACGGGUGAGUAACACGUGGGAACGUACCCUUCGGUUCGGAAUAACCCAGGGAAACUUGGAUUAAUACCGGAUACGUCCGUAAGGAGAAAGAUUUAUCGCCGAAGGAUCGGCCCGCGUCCGAUUAGCUUGUUGGUGGGGUAAUGGCCCACCAAGGCUACGAUCGGUAGCUGGUCUGAGAGGAUGAUCAGCCACACUGGGACUGAGACACGGCCCAGACUCCUACGGGAGGCAGCAGUGGGGAAUAUUGGACAAUGGGCGCAAGCCUGAUCCAGCCAUGCCGCGUGGGUGAUGAAGGCCCUAGGGUUGUAAAGCCCUUUCGGCGGGGAAGAUAAUGACGGUACCCGCAGAAGAAGCCCCGGCUAACUUCGUGCCAGCCGCCGCCGUAAAAC